rnacentral:ncRNA from 1 species
AAAUGCCAACGGACUAGGACUAAGGGUCAAAGUGAUAAUUUUUCUUACAUCUCCCCCGCCUCCCAGGGGCCCAGGUAUCAUAUACACCGCCAAAAUAAAGAGCUUGUUAU